GCGUCGUUCGAAAGUGCUCCUCAGUUUUUCCAGUUUUUUUCCUAAUAUUUCCAGGUUUUCUUUAAAACUUUUACGUGUUUUUGUAAAAUGUGCGUCCUGUAACCCGUGGAAGUAUUUUUUUCGGGAAAUUUUACGUGAAACAGUUAUUUUAGUGGAUGUUAAGUUUCGUUCAAGGUCGUUCCCGUUUCUUGGAUAUUUCCCGAUUUUAUCCAGUUUUAAAGGCAGAAUUACAGCAAGUGCAGGCCCUCAUUCAAGGUGCCACAGGGACAUGGCAUUUCGAACAACAUUUUGUGAAGAUUUCUUGGCCCAGUAUGAAUUCUGUAUAUUAGUAAAAUUGUAUGCUGGAGGUGUUAAAAGUAUCUUUAGAGGGGUCAGAGUCAUUACUAUCAGCAUUUUAUGAAGAUUUUUUGACUUGAUAUAAAUAGUUUAUAGUAGUAGAAAUUGUAUGCUGGAGAUGUUAAAUGUGUCUUUAUAGUACAGGAUAGAGCAUUGUUAUUGGUAUUUUUAUGACAUACAUUUUUGGUCACAAUACCAUGGAACACAGUUUGGGGAAUGUUAUGGGGGAAGUACAGGCAGCUUUUUGGAGUUACAUUGAGGCAGGUUUGGAGCAUUUUUGAUGAAAACUGAGAGGAAACUACUUGGAGAAAAUUAAGGAAAAACUAUUAUUACAAUAUUGCUUAGUAUGUGCUGCUUCUGAUGUCUGCUACUGAAAGACACUAAUCUUUUGAAUCUCAAGACAUUGAAGACUUUUUUGCAUAAUUUUGGUUCAUCAAACUACUUGUUAAAUGAUUUUUUUAUUGGGGUACCUGCAACAAUUUUCUGCAUUUUGGUGUAUGGUUUUGGAUGCUCCUAACAGAAUCUGAAGGCAUGUAAAAUGACGUUACAUACACACUGUUAUCUAAAAAUGACAGUCAUAACACAUUUUUGGGUGAUACUUGAUUGGUGAUUUUUUUUUAGAAAAGAUGUCAUCUUGCUAGGUCGUUCCGAAUUUUAUCGUUAAGGCAAUGUUUGCCGGGAUGACAUCUAUCGGUGAUAGUAUUGCGAUUGAGUGAUUUUUAAUUUUUUUUAGAAAAGAUGUCAUCUUGCUAGGUCGUUUCGAAUUUUACCGUUAAGGCAAUGUUUGCCGGGAUGACAUCUAUCGGUGAUAGUAUUGCGAUUGAGUGAUUUUUAAUAAUUUUUUAGAGAAGAUGUCAUCUUGUUAGGUCGUCGCGAAUUUUAUCGUUAAGGCAAUGUUUGCCGGGAUGACAUCUAUCGGUGAUAGUAUUGCGAUUGAGUGAUUUUUAGUUUUUUUUAGAAAAGAUGUCACCUUGCUAGGUCGUUUCGAAUUUUACCGUUAAGGCAAUGUUUGCCGGGAUGGCAUCUAUCGGUGAUAGUAUUGCGAU